CAAUCUAGAGUNUCGGAGAGGAAAGUGGAAUUCCUAGUGUAGCGGUGAAAUGCGUAGAUAUUAGGAAGANCACCAGUGGCGAAGGCGACUUUCUGGACGAAAACUGACGCUGAGGCGCGAAAGCCAGGGGGGCGAACGGGAUUAGAUACCCCGGUAGUCCUGGCCGUAAACGAUGGGUACUAGGUGUAGGAGGUAUCGACCCNUUCUGUGCCGGAGUUAACGCAAUAAGUACCCCGCCUGGGGAGUACGACCGCAAGGUUGAAACUCAAAGGAAUUGACGGGGGCCCGCACAAGCGGUGGAGUAUGUGGUUUAAUUCGACGCAACGCGAAGAACCUUACCAGGUCUUGACAUUGAUGGACAGAACCAGAGAUGGUUCCUCUUCUUCGGAAGCCAGAAAACAGGUGGUGCACGGUUGUCGUCAGCUCGUGUCGUGAGAUGUUGGGUUAAGUNNNNCAACGAGCGCAACCCCUAUCUUAUGUUGCCAGCACUUUGGGUGGGGACUCAUGAGAGACUGCCGCAGACAAUGCGGAGGAAGGCGGGGAUGACGUCAAAUCAUCAUGCCCCUUAUGACCUGGGCUACACACGUACUACAAUGGGAGUUAAUAGACGGAAGCGAGAUCGCGAGAUGGAGCAAACCCGAGAAACACUCUCUCAGUUCGGAUCGUAGGCUGCAACUCGCCUACGUGAAGUCGGAAUCGCUAGUAAUCGCAGGUCAGCAUACUGCGGUGAAUACGUUCCUGGGCCU
rnacentral:rRNA from 1 species